rnacentral:rRNA from 1 species
GAUGAACGCUGACAGAAUGCUUAACACAUGCAAGUCAACUUGAACUUCGGUUUGGGUGGCGGACGGGUGAGUAACGCGUACAGAACUUGCCUCACAGAUAGGGACAACAUUUGGAAACGAAUGCUAAUACCUGAUAUUAUGAUUUUAGGGCAUCCUAGGAUUAUGACAGCUAUAUGCGCUGUGAGAGAGCUUUGCGUCCCAUUAGCUAGUUGGAGAGGUAACGGCUCACCAAGGCGAUGAUGGGUAGCCGGCCUGAGAGGGUGAUCGGCCACAAGGGGACUGAGACACGGCCCUUACUCCUACGGGAGGCAGCAGUGGGGAAUAUUGGACAAUGGACCAAGAGUCUGAUCCAGCAAUUCUGUGUGCACGAUGAAGUUUUUCGGAAUGUAAAGUGCUUUCAGUUGGGAAGAAAAAAAUGACGGUACCAACAGAAGAAGUGACGGCUAAAUACGUG